rnacentral:rRNA from 1 species
GACAGAGGGUGCUAGCGUUGUUCGGAAUUACUGGGCGUAAAGGGCGCGUAGGCGGCUUGUUUAGUCGGGUGUGAAAUCCCGGGGCUCAACCCCGGAACUGCAUUCGAUACUGGCAGGCUAGAGACCGGAAGAGGUGGGUGGAAUACCCAGUGUAGAGGUGAAAUUCGUAGAUAUUGGGAAGAACACCGGUGGCGAAGGCGGCGCUCUGGACCGAGACUGACGCUGAGGCGCGAAAGCGUGGGGAGCAAACAGG